GGCUCAAUGGUCUAGUCGUAUGAUUCCUGCUUUGGGUUCUACUACUCUGCAGGAGGCCCCGGGUUCAAAUCCCGGUUGAGCCC